AUGUUGGCCUUCGCCGCCGUUAUCUUCUCCCCCGCUCCCGGCACGCUGUCCGGUAGAACAAUCCGCUCCCGCCCAACUCUCGCUGGAUGCGUAAAGAAAACCACCCCGAAACCACCCCGGUCCGUCUUGUCCUCACCGCGACCCGCGCGCUCCAGCCGCCGGCCAUGGGUGCCAUGGUGCCUCCGCGCGCUCGCCGCUGCUCUAGCGCUCGCGCUCUGUCCUCCAGAUAUCAUCCCUGCCCAUGCCUCCUCCAUCGGCGAGCGUCUGAAGCCGAGUACCCGGCAUCCUUGCGAAGACGUCCAGAGCUACUACGGGGGGCUGGAGGGCUUGUCCGGUGACGGGCUGAUGCCGAAGCUCGGCGCCGUCGUCUCGCCUCACGCCUCACUGCGCUACAAAAUUAGGUGUGGGAGGCGCUCAAGAUUCUCGAUGCAGCUGAUGCAGACCACCCAGAAGCGUCCUCUGAAGUGA
rnacentral:rRNA from 1 species